AGGGGUUUAGCUCAGUUGGUUAGAGCACACGAAUUUUAAUCGUGAGGUUGGGGGUUCGAAUCCCCCAAUCCCUG
rnacentral:tRNA from 1 species